UUGCCUAAGGAAAAUAUGAAUUGUACAGAUUUCUACAGUAGACUUUUUUCUCCCCCUUGCUUUACAGGUGUUUCAUCUUUUCGGUAAAAGCCAUCAGUUCUCUUCAGGGAAUUCCAGCGAGCUGAGUAUACCACAAAACGCCCAGGAAGACCCUGAUGCCAUCAGGUCUGGAAUGGGUACUGCCAUCAUAGUACUUGAAUGCUCAGGUGCUCUGUCUCAGAUGUUCCCAAGUCCACAAAGGAAAAGCACCUACCUUCCCGAUCCUUCUGGCCAUGGAAGCAGAUCUGGGCACAAGAUCUUCUGAAGUUUUAUCUUCUGGUUUCUGAGACUGCUACAGACUGCUUAAGACAAGUGUGAAUACUUCGCUACUUGAACAGGGAAAACAGAACUUGUUGCAGAGUGAGCAAACAUUAAAUGUUACUUAGUUUGAGGAAUACCAGUUGUUUCAGGAACAACGUUGGUUGUUUUCUAAUGAGAUUUGAUUGUUGUCUCGUUUCCUUUUCAUAUUAAAAAUGAGAACUGUUAAUCUAUGAGAGUCAUUUGUUGGAUGUGGACUGUCCGCAUGUGACCUAGGCUUCAGGUAUGAGCAGUUUUACUUGUGGCUGUAAUUUGAGUGAUUGCUUGUGCCUGGGGGAUGCUGAGUGAGACACUCGUUGCCCACACAGAGCACAGGGAGGUUUGAACUCCUUCAGAGAGGGUCUGCUCUCUUGAGAGCAGCUUUCCAAUUUAUUCACAGAGUCCUACCUAAAGUAACAGGGAACCUUUUUUUGUUUAUUUUAAUUUCAGAAACUACCGAUCACUUUACUACCACUUUUCCAGGAUCGAUGAGCCGAA
rnacentral:lncRNA from 1 species